UACGAAGGGGGCGAGCGUUGUUCGGAUUUACUGGGCGUAAAGGGCGCGCAGGCGGCUUUGUUUGUCAGGCGUGAAAGCCCCGGGCUUAACCUGGGAACUGCGUUUGAUACGGCAGGGCUAGAGUUCGGGAGAGGAGAGUGGAAUUCCCAGUGUAGAGGUGAAAUUCGUAGAUAUUGGGAAGAACACCGGUGGCGAAGGCGGCCUUCUGGACGGUGACUGACGCUGAGACGCGAAAGCGUGGGGAGCAAACAGG
rnacentral:rRNA from 1 species